rnacentral:lncRNA from 1 species
CCUUUUUUUUUUCUUUUUCUUUUUUUGGCCCCUUCUUCUUCUUGUGUUUUAACAGUUACAUAUGAUAAAGUUGAUGAAACUCUCUCUCUCUCCUUACAAGGUAUAGAGAAUUGAUAUGAGAUUUUUUUUUUUUCCUCCUUUUAGGAAGAGAAAAAGUUCCAACUUUCAAUGGGUGAAAAUGCUAGGCUUUGUUGGGGAAAAAGAAAACUUGGAAUAAGGGAAUCAUCCUAAGGAAUUCGACAUGCAAGUUUGUGAAUUUAGGAAAGGGAGAUAAUUUCGCAUCAAAAAAAGGGUUACCAGCCAAUCUGCCCAUCUCCAUUAUACAAAUAUGGCUUUUGCCAGUUUGGAAUUCCCAUACAUAUGAAAAGUUGUUUUCCUAGAUUAAAAAUUUUGAAACAUUUUAACUUAUGAUUUUGCCAUUUGGUCGAAGAUACAUGGUAGACGUUAAUUUAUCCAACUCAAAUAAUAUAUUUACUUUUGUGUCUCAUAAAUAAAGGGUGUGAUGAACUAGUCGAUUUAUUUAAGAAAUUUUUUUUUUCAUAAUGGCAAAAGUCAUGCACGGAUGAGAAUAGGAUAAGAAUUGGAAAAGAAAAAGGGCGUGGAACAAUAAUAAAAAUGAGAAACCAAGAAAAGAUCCUAUUUGUAAGUGACAGCUCAUUAAGGAAGUAGUCCACGUUAGGUCCUUGUGGAUACUAUCAUGAACAACACAUACUUGCAUUCAUAAAAAGUGUAGGUUUCUGAUAAUUAUAAAAGUACACACAUGCGCAUGCUUAUCAAUCCGUGUUGGAAUGUUUGUUAUCUUCAAUUUUUUUUUUUUUUUUUGGUUAAUUGUCACCGUCUACUCUG